AGAGUUUGAUCCUGGCUCAGGAUGAACGCUGGCGGCGUGCCUAAUACAUGCAAGUAGAACGCUGAAGCUUGGUGCUUGCACCGAGCGGAAGAGUUGCGAACGGGUGAGUAACGCGUAGGUAACCUGCCUCUUAGCGGGGGAUAACUAUUGGAAACGAUAGCUAAUACCGCAUAAAAGUCGACAUUGCAUGAUGUUGACUUGAAAGGUGCAAAUGCAUCACUAAGAGAUGGACCUGCGUUGUAUUAGCUAGUUGGUGAGGUAACGGCUCACCAAGGCGACGAUACAUAGCCGACCUGAGAGGGUGAUCGGCCACACUGGGACUGAGACACGGCCCAGACUCCUACGGGAGGCAGCAGUAGGGAAUCUUCGGCAAUGGACGGAAGUCUGACCGAGCAACGCCGCGUGAGUGAAGAAGGUUUUCGGAUCGUAAAGCUCUGUUGUAAGAGAAGAACGAGUGUGAGAGUGGAAAGUUCACACUGUGACGGUAACUUACCAGAAAGGGACGGCUAACUACGUGCCAGCAGCCGCGGU
rnacentral:rRNA from 1 species